AUAUUUGCAAUCAUAUUAUAUGUUAAUGUUACGUGCUUAAAUACGUCCUCAAAGAGCUUGUGGCCUAACAAAAUCCAGGUUAUGCGCUAGCCCUAGUAGUACUCGGUUUAAUUGAAUCGGUCAUAUAUAGUUUCCAAUAAUAUUAGCCAAAAUUCUCAGGUGGUUGAACUGAGCACAGAUGUUUACGAUUAUCAUUAACUCCGCAGAGCCGUUGUGAUGAUAUCACAUAUAUAUAAAUCUAUGUAUGUAUAUAUACGCAUAACAACUACGACCGUGUAUAUGACGAUAUUACAUAAGUCAUAACAAUGUCAUUUUGUAUUAUUAACUAUAAUCUAAUUCUUAUUAUGUAACUUUGAAUUGCAAACUUUGACGAUUAUAGUACAACUUUAUUAUAACACCGUAUUUAUUAUUCAUACAAAUUGAGUAUUUUUUUUUUCAUUUUUUUUCAUCAUACACGGCCCGUUUAUUUGUCUACAUGAAGGAAUAUCUUAGAAGAAAGUUGAUCUGAAGUCAAAGAUGUGUUACGUACAUAACUGCGUACGCUUUCAAGAAGUUUGAUUUGUGUUUGGUGGUUUGGUAAAGUUCCAUCUCCAUAGAGAAGGUCGGUGUAGUUGUAGUUAGAUUGAAUAUUGAUCCAUUCUAAUUUUUGACUUAUUUGAAAUAUUACCAUGCAUAGAACAAUAGAUUUUCAUUUACUCACAUGAUAUUCAUUGUUUUGUGUCAUGCGUGUGUGGAUGCAUUCUAUUUAGCGUUUGUUACUAAAACAAUACUCUUACCAAAAUAUGAAUGAACACUUUUG
rnacentral:lncRNA from 1 species